rnacentral:sRNA from 1 species
CCCAUCUUUCUAAGGACAAGCUUAGGCACCGCAGGAGGGUUAUUCAAGCCCAGACUUCUGCUGAAUUCAUUGGCAAGUGAUACAAGCUGGUAUUUGUCACGCCCAAUGAACUUGUUAGAAUUAUAGUAACCGAGCCAUGCUUGGUAGGCAAGUUCCUUAUCCUUAACCUCCACAUUAAAUAAGCUUAAUUACCUUUCUUUUAGUGUCCAGAUCAAUUAAAGGUAAUGUUGCCUCUGUAAUAGGCAGAUCUUUGAUACUUCUCAAGAAGUAUUCUUCCCACGGUGCCAAUAAUAAGAUUCCACUCCCCUCGUUUCCUCUGCGGCCAGUUCUACCAAGUCGAUGAAUAUAUUGUUCUCUGUCAAAGUUCGUUACCUGGACGACUAGUGUGACAUUGGGAUAAUCAACGCCCCUAGCAGAUACAUCGGAGCUAACAAGAAUAAGACCUUUUGAUUCCUUAAAUUCUUUGGAUAUUCUGGUUCUGUAACUUUGUGGCUUUCUGGAGUGAAUCUCGCGUACAUUCAACUUCAAUUCAGACAGA